rnacentral:rRNA from 1 species
AUUGAACGCUGGCGGCAUGCUUUACACAUGCAAGUCGAACGGUAACAGGCCUUCGGGUGCUGACGAGUGGCGAACGGGUGAGUAAUGCAUCGGAACGUGCCCAAUCGUGGGGGAUAACGUAGCGAAAGUUACGCUAAUACCGCAUAAGCCCUGAGGGGGAAAGUGGGGGACCGCAAGGCCUCACGCGAAUGGAGCGGCCGAUGUCAGAUUAGCUAGUUGGUGGGGUAAAGGCUCACCAAGGCGACGAUCUGUAGCGGGUCUGAGAGGAUGAUCCGCCACACUGGGACUGAGACACGGCCCAGACUCCUACGGGAGGCAGCAGUGGGGAAUUUUGGACAAUGGGCGCAAGCCUGAUCCAGCCAUGCCGCGUGCGGGACGAAGGCCUCGG